rnacentral:rRNA from 1 species
GCCCUUAGAGUUUGAUCCUGGCUCAGGAUGAACGCUGGCGGUAUGCCUUACACAUGCAAGUCGUACGAGAGUUUUUAACUCAAGUGGCGGACGGGUGAGUAACACGUAAGAAUUUGCCUUUAGGAGGGGGAUAACAACUGGAAACGGUUGCUAAUACCCCAUAUGCUUUCGAGUAAAAUGGAUUUUCCGCCUAAAGAGAAGCUUGCGGCUGAUUAGCUUGUUGGUGAGGUAAUGGCUCACCAAGGCGACGAUCAGUAUCUGGUUUGAGAGGACGAUCAGACACACUGGAACUGAGACACGGUCCAGACUCCUACGGGAGGCAGCAGUGGGGAAUUUUCCGCAAUGGGCGAAAGCCUGACGGAGCAAUACCGCGUGAGGGAUGACGGCCUAUGGGUUGUAAACCUCUUUUUUCAGGGAGGAAUCAAUGACGUGUACCUGAAGAAUAAGCAUCGGCUAACUCCGUGCCAGCAGCCGCGGUAAGACGGAGGAUGCAAGUGUUAUCCGGAAUCACUGGGCGUAAAGCGUCUGUAGGUGGUCAAAUAAGUCAACUGUUAAAUCUUGAGGCUCAACCUCAAAAUCGCAGUCGAAACUAUUCGACUAGAGUAUAGUAGGGGUAAAGGGAAUUUCCAGUGGAGCGGUGAAAUGCGUAGAGAUUGGAAAGAACACCGAUGGCGAAGGCACUUUACUGGGCUAUUACUAACACUGAGAGACGAAAGCUAGGGUAGCAAAUGGGAUUAGAUACCUCCAGUAGUCCUUAGCUCGUAAACAAUGGAUACUAGAUGUUGAACAGAUCGACCUGUGCAGUAUCAAAGCUAACGCGUUAAGUAUCCCGCCUGGGAAGUAUGCUCGCAAGAGUGAAACUCAAAUGAAUUGACGGGGAAGGGC